UACAGAGGGUGCAAGCGUUGUUCGGAAUUACUGGGCGUAAAGGGCGCGUAGGCGGCCUGCUAAGUCGAACGUGAAAUCCCUGGGCUCAACCCAGGAACUGCGUCCGAUACUGGUGGGCUCGAAUCCGGGAGAGGGAUGUGGAAUUCCAGGUGUAGCGGUGAAAUGCGUAGAUAUCAGGAAGAACACCGGUGGCGAAGGCGGCUCUCUGGGCCUUACCUGACGCUGAGGAGCGAAAGCGUGGGUAGCGAACAGG
rnacentral:rRNA from 1 species